GUCGAACGCGUUGGCCCAAUUGAUUGAUGGUGCUUGCACCUGAUUGAUUUUGGUCGCCAACGAGUGGCGGACGGGUGAGUAACACGUAGGUAACCUGCCCAGAAGCGGGGGACAACAUUUGGAAACAGAUGCUAAUACCGCAUAACAACGUUGUUCGCAUGAACAACGCUUAAAAGAUGGCUUCUCGCUAUCACUUCUGGAUGGACCUGCGGUGCAUUAGCUUGUUGGUGGGGUAACGGCCUACCAAGGCGAUGAUGCAUAGCCGAGUUGAGAGACUGAUCGGCCACAAUGGGACUGAGACACGGCCCAUACUCCUACGGGAGGCAGCAGUAGGGAAUCUUCCACAAUGGGCGCAAGCCUGAUGGAGCAACACCGCGUGAGUGAAGAAGGGUUUCGGCUCGUAAAGCUCUGUUGUUAAAGAAGAACACGUAUGAGAGUAAUUGUUCAUACGUUGACGGUAUUUAACCAGAAAGUCACGGCUAACUACGUGCCAGCAGCCGCGGUAAUACGUAGGGUGGCAAGCGUUAUCCGGGAUUUUUUUGGGGCGUAAAGAGAGUGCAGGGCGGGUUUUUCUAAGUCUGGAUGUGGAAAGCCCUUCGGCCUUAACCCGGGAGAAGUGCAUCGGGAAACUGGGAUAACUUUGAGUGCAGAAAGAGGGGUA
rnacentral:rRNA from 2 species